GACGGGUGAGUAACGCGUGGGAACGUACCCUUCUCUGCGGAAUAGCCACUGGAAACGGUGAGUAAUACCGCAUACGCCCUUCGGGGGAAAGAUUUAUCGGAGAAGGAUCGGCCCGCGUUGGAUUAGGUAGUUGGUGGGGUAAUGGCCUACCAAGCCUACGAUCCAUAGCUGGUUUGAGAGGAUGAUCAGCCACACUGGGACUGAGACACGGCCCAGACUCCUACGGGAGGCAGCAGUGGGGAAUCUUAGACAAUGGGCGCAAGCCUGAUCUAGCCAUGCCGCGUGAGUGAAGAAGGCCUUAGGGUCGUAAAGCUCUUUCGCUGGGGAAGAUAAUGACUGUACCCAGUAAAGAAACCCCGGCUAACUCCGUGCCAGCAGCCGCGGUAAUACGGAGGGGGUUAGCGUUGUUCGGAAUUACUGGGCGUAAAGCGCGCGUAGGCGGAUCAGAAAGUUGGGGGUGAAAUCCCGGGGCUCAACCUCGGAACUGCCUCCAAAACUCCUGGUCUUGAGUUCGAGAGAGGUGAGUGGAAUUCCGAGUGUAGAGGUGAAAUUCGUAGAUAUUCGGAGGAACACCAGUGGCGAAGGCGGCUCACUGGCUC
rnacentral:rRNA from 1 species